GCAUUUAUUAGAACAAUCCAACCGCGGGGGCAACUUCGUGUGGUGAAUCUAGAUAACUGUGCAGAUCGUAUGGCCUYGAGCUGACGACGUUUCGAUUGAAUUUCUGCCCUAUCAACUUUGUUGGCAGUGUAGUGGACUGCCAAGGUUUUUACGGGUAACGGGGGAUCAGGGUUCGAUUCCGGAGAGGGAGCCUGAGAAACGGCUACCACAUCCAAGGAAGGCAGCAGGCGCGCAAAUUACCCAAUCCAGACAAUGGGAGGUGGUGACGAAAAGUACCGGAUGGCGAUUUUAUCGCCAGUCUGGAAUGAAAACAAUUUUAGCAAUUGAAUUGAGUAACGACUGGAGGGCAAGUCUGGUGCCAGCAGCCGCGGUAAUUCCAGCUCCAGUAGCGUACAGCAACGUUGCUGCGCUUAAAACGCUCGUAGUUGGAUCACUCACUGUGCUUCGGUGUACAAUGUACGCGCCCGUCGCUCGGAAAACCGGUUAUUCGCUGGUCACUGCUGGGUUGGRCCGUCGUUGUAAUAUAGCCGUUGUGCAGUAAUUGCACGUGAGGAUGGCCGUUGACCUUURGUGCGUUGAGGGUUGUGUCUCACGGGGUGUGCCUUGAGUAAAUCAGAGUGCUUAAAGCAGGCUUUACGCUUGAAUGUUAUUAGCAUGGAACGAACAAUCGUGUAUGGUGUGUGCUGAUAACGGUAGGUGGCGCUCGCGUUGCCUACUGCAGCAUACGACACCGACCRCCAAUUACGGAUGUUGGUUCCGUA
rnacentral:rRNA from 1 species